CAUGCAAGUCGAACGGAAAUCUUUUAGAUUUUAGUGGCGAACGGGUGAGUAACACGUAAGCAACCUGCCUUUAAGACGAGAAUAACAAUUGGAAACAGUUGCUAAGGCUGGAUAGGAAAUAAAAAGGCAUCUUUUUAUUUUUAAAAGACCUUUUUCGGAAGGUAUGCUUAAAGAGGGGCUUGCGUCACAUUAGUUAGUUGGUAGGGUAAUGGCCUACCAAGACGAUGAUGUGUAGCUGGACUGAGAGGUUGAACAGCCACAUUGGGACUGAGACACGGCCCAAACUCCUACGGGAGGCAGCAGUAGGGAAUUUUCGGCAAUGGAGGAAACUCUGACCGAGCAACGCCGCGUGAACGACGAAGUACUUCGGUAUGUAAAGUUCUUUUAUUGAAGAAGAAACAAUAGUGGAAAAACUAUCUUGACGUUAUUCAAUGAAUAAGCCCCGGCUAACUAUGUGCCAGCAGCCGCGGUAAUACAUAGGGGGCGAGCGUUAUCCGGAAUUAUUGGGCGUAAAGGGUGCGUAGGCGGUUUAAUAAGUCUCUAGUUUAAUUUCAACGCUUAACGUUGUCCUGCUAGAGAAACUGUUUAACUAGAGUGAGAUAGAGGUAAGCGGAAUUCCAUGUGUAGCGGUAAAAUGUGUAAAUAUAUGGAGGAACACCAGAGGCGUAGGCGGCUUACUGGGUCUUUACUGACGCUGAUGCACGAAAGCGUGGGGAGCAAACAGGAUUAGAUACCCUGGUAGUCCACGCCGUAAACUAUGAGUACUAAGUGUCGGGGUUAAACUCGGUACUGAAGUUAACACAUUAAGUACUCCGCCUGAGUAGUACGUACGCAAGUAUGAAACUUAAAGGAAUUGACGGGAUCCCGCACAAGCGGUGGAUCAUGUUGUUUAAUUCGAAGAUACACGAAAAACCUUACCAGGUCUUGACAUACUCUGCAAAGCUAUAGAAAUAUAGUGGAGGUUAUCAGGGAUACAGGUGGUGCAUGGUUGUCGUCAGCUCGUGUCGUGAGAUGUUAGGUUAAGUUCUAAAACGAGCGCAACCCCUGUCGUUAAUUGCCAGCACGUUAUGGUGGGGACUUUAGCGAGACUGCCAAUGAAAAAUUGGAGGAAGGUGGGGAUUACGUCAAAUCAUCAUGCCCCUUAUGAUCUGGGCUACAAACGUGAUACAAUGGCUAUUACAAGGAGUAGCUGAAACGCGAGUUUUUGGCAAAUCUCAAAAAAAUAGUCUCAGUUCGGAUUGAAGUCUGCAACUCGACUUCAUGAAGUUGGAAUCGCUAGUAAUCGCGAAUCAGCAUGUCGCGGUGAAUACGUUCUCGGGGUUUGUACACACCGCCCGUCAAACCACGAAAGUGGACAAUACCCGAAAGCGACAGCCUAACUGCGUAAGC
rnacentral:rRNA from 1 species